GAGCUGCGUGCCGAACGUUGCCGACCCCUGGGCUAGUAGAAGAUCUAUCCAGGUGCGCCUAAAGAUAUACACUUAUUACUGUUUUAUAAGAAGAGCUCCUGCAGCUGGCUGCAGACACUCACAUCUUGUGUAUUUAAUUACCAACCAUACUAAGGUUCCCAAGCUACAACAUUGUACUGGAUGUUCUAUAUCUUAUAAGUCUCUGUUAAGAUGCAAUAACAUUGAGAUUAAAAAUAUUUUUAGGAACAAAUUCCCAUUAUAAGUUUCUAUUUAACUUUAUUCAUCUGCACCAUUUCAUCCCCAUUCCAGUGGUUUAGUGACUAGAAUUAAGAAACUUUAGGUAUUUACACCAAAUUUAACUGGGUUCUUAUGAUGCCCAUGGAAUCAGAUCAACUGCAAAGAACUUCCCCCACCCCUUUGAACGUUGCCAUUACAUACAAAUGAUUAGCAAUGGGAUGCAUAGCAUACGUCAAAGGGACAUAAAUCAAUUUGCCUGGCCACAUGUCCAAGGGGCAAAAUAGAAAUGUGUAAUUUGCACCUCAUUUAUUCUCCUUUGUAUGUGGAACUGAUUGAGGCUGUGAAUCACACAUAGUGAGCAGAGCUGGAUGAUGAAGGCAUAAAAUCUCUGUCUUCCAUGUCGAAAUCAUAAGAGAGAGUGUGCAUUAAAUAAAUAAUCAAAAAGGUACAAACUACUGCAGCCUUGUGUAUUGUUUGGCAGCAACAAAAUAUGAUAACAAAGAUAGUCACAUUUCAGAGUCAGAAGACUGUAAAUAUGGUGCCCUGGCAUGGAAGUAAAUGGUGUAAGUCCAUGAUAAAUGACAUACAUGUAGCUUUGAUUCAUGUAUAUAGCCACUUAUGUCUGGCAACUGACUAUGGGGGAGAGGGGGGGAAGGUAGUGUACAAUACCAGCAAACUUGUAUGCUUGCGAUUCCUUUCAUAAUUACUGAAUCAAUUUCAGCCAGCGCUGAUUCAGUUUUAGGCAAAAGACAGCUUUAAAAUGUAGCUUUGCCACAUGUGCUCUUCUUAAGAGAAAUAUUAUACAAAUCCCAGCAGGACAAAUCAAUAGGACUGAAUUCUGCCUAGGAAGAUUUUUCUAUUAUUUCUGGACAGACAAGUUCCCUAGUGAACAUGAAUGAUUCCUAGCAAGACCCAUUUAUUCUUCAAUUGAUGCAGGAAAAACACAGGAGUUUUAUUUCUGGCAGGACUAAUAUACAGUAGAAGCCAAGGCCUCUGAUCCUGGCACUGCAAACCUAUAGCACAUGAUUCCUGGCAAGAAAAGUAGGGACUUAAUUAUUGACAGCAUACACAUAGGAGUCUAUUAGGACAAACUCAUUUAAUUUCUGUCAGAACAAACAUAUUGGGUUGAAUUAUUAGCAGGACAAAUACAAAUGAAUCCAGGCAAGACAAAUAUAUGAUGUUACAUUCCUGGCAUGACACAUACGUGGGAGGGGAGCAUAUGGCCCCGUGUAAAAACGUAUGGAGGAGAACAAAAUCAAAAACCCAUGUUGGUUUUGAUGCAUGGCUCUGAGCCACAUUUAACCUCACAGGGCUGGCCAGGACAUAGUAAGGCAGAAGGUACACCCACAAAAAGGGUGAGGAGCCAAGGGGUUCUCCCUAGAGGAACCUUGGCCACAAACUUGUGGAUCCCCAGCCAGCUGUGCAGAUAGUCUGUCUCUUUUCCAUGUUCAUUCCAUUUCCCCUACCAUCCACAAAGCACAGGUCAGAUCCCCACUCUGUGGUCAGCUACAUUUUGCAACAUCUGACUACCUGGGAAGAAGACUACAACUCCCAUCAUCCAUCACGGCAAAUUUCAACCUCAACCAACUUUAUUUAAAUCACUGUUUAAAUUUAUUUUGUGACAACUCAAACCUGUCCAAGUGGCUGAUGAGAGUUACAUUCCUUCUGUGGAAACCAUUGGGCUGGGCAGCCAGACCAGUGCUACAUGACAAAACUUGACAAAACACAGGUAUUUAAUAAGUGGAUUAUGUAGAGCACACAAGCUUCAGACCUCAGUAAGAUAACUCGUACAAUAUAGUGAUUGAGAUCCAGGGCACACUAUACAAUGGUGAACAUGGUGUACUCUCAGUUACCUUUAGUACAUUUGAGAGAUUAGAAGGGUUAUGCUGGGGAAGAGCCAGUUUGAGGAGUAAUAUCUGCUUACUUCUGUUUCCUAGAGACAAUUACUUCUCAUUGCCAAAGGUUGGUGACAUAGUGAGCUGUGCAAAAAUCAUUAGUCAUAUUAUUGCAAUCAGAAAUGCUUUGCAAUAUACCACCACUUUACAAAAAGUGAGUAAAGGAAUUUUCAACCACCACCUGUUAUUAUUCAAAACUAAUCUAAAAUGUAAUCUCCUGAAACAGCUAUGAAGAGCUAAUCCCAAUAUAAAGCAGUAUGGCCUAGUAAUUAAACCCAGCAUCCUAGUUACCUAGGGUUACCAGAUAGCAACUGUGAAAAAACGGGACAGAGGGAGAGGGGGUAACAGGCGCCUAUAUAAGAAAAAGUCCCAAAAACGGGACUGUCCCUUUAAAAAUGGGACAUCUGGUAACCCUACUGUUACCUGUGUUUUAAACUGCUUUGCCAUAGAUAUGGGUGAUUUGACUUGUGUUCUGUUAGUUUAACUCUAGCAGCCUUACUUCCUCCACACACUGAAAUACACUGUAUCUCCAGUUAGCAAUAGAUAUAUAAGACUACAUGAAAUCCAAAGUUUACUCUACCUGAUGGGUGAUAAGUAUGCUCUCAGUUGACUAAGAUACACUUAUAAAAAUAAAAUGUGAAAGUUUCAUUAUGUUUGAAAAACUAACAAUGCUAUUUUUUUCCCAGGAUCUUAGCAGAAAUGUCCUGUUUCUGCAUAUUUGAACUGAAUUGCAGUCCAUCUGAGUCUGCCUGCCCAAAUUCUGUAACUCAAACAAACCCACCCUCUGCUACCUGGAGUAAGAAGAAAACAGUACAAUACAAUGAGUCAAAUUCUGAUUGUAGCAAGGUGGAGUGGCCUGCCUCCGAGGCUGACUGGGAGGAACCACUUCCCACCCACUGGUAGGUGGAACCAGGCAGGGUCCACGCCUCACGCUAGAAGCAGAGUGGCAGAACAGUAUGCAUCAGAGGUGGGGUCUCCAGCUCAGUUGGGCCAGAGGCAGGGAAGGAGCUGGAUGUCUCUGCCUUGCUGAUGGCCCUGCACCAGGGACUGAUUUGUGCCUAUCCCAGGAGUUGGACCCUGAGGGAGGGAUGCAGCUGAGACUGCUAUUUGCCAAGUACCCCGAGGAGCUGCUGGGAUUGCUGACUGCUGAGUAUCCCAAGGAGACUGAGGACUCCCCGAGCAACAGAGCCUUACAAGCAGAAUCACCUGGGGACUUCUUGCUGCAAGGCAAUACAGUCUGCAAGUCUCUGGCUACCUAUGCACCUUCUGAACUGACUGGACACUUAAUAAGGAUCAGCACCUCUUAUUCCUCCUACUCACUGCCACUGCUGCUCCAAGCUUGCUCAGUACUAUUCACAGUCAGCUUUAUUCAUGCAUUUCUUGAACAGCUAGAGAAAGAAAACCUGAACUAAUGCCACCUUACUUGAAGCCAAGUAAAAACCACUAACAAUUUUAACAGAUUUGUACACUAAUGAGUUCUGAAGGGUGGCAUUCUGUGUGUUCUGUUCUUUGAGCAUUUUGUGUACAAAGAAAUCUUGCAUUAUACACUACAAAAGGCAAGUUUGACAGGAAUGAGCCAAAUCGGUAAAGAGCUCUGGCAAGAAUACAGCUGUUUCUAAUAUAUGGCAUCCUGAGAGAAUUUUGAUGACAUCUGCUAUCAAGGCAAGAAAAAUUUAGAAAUGCCUUUAAAGAAUCAAAUCCAUAUUGUCAUUCAACUUUUUAAAUACAUCAUGGUCACUUCAUCGACAGAAGUGUAGCCUCCAUGUAACUAUAUAGGUCUCUUACAACAAUGCCUUUCAUCUUCUCCCCAGAAGGCAAUCGGGGUUUCUUUUAUCACAAAUCUCCCUGAAGGGAAGCAGUCAGAAUUCACAGCCUUUUUACAGAUGAGCUCUACCUUAGGGAAGGAGGUUGGGGGAAAACAUAUGGAUACUGCUAUUCUCAAAGCAGUACCGAACUAUACCUCCACAAUGUAAGGGAAGCUCCAUUAAUACAGUUUCUCACCACCACCAGCAGCAAAGGCCUGUGAGAGGCAAUAUUUACAGGAUACUUUUACACAGGCAGAUUGUGUUUUUUAAUUAAAACUAAUUCAAAAUAAAGUCACAUGGAUUACACAAUUGAUAAAUUCUGUCUGCAUGAUGCUUUAAAUCACAGUAGUCGUCACACAGUUCAUUUAGACUGAAUAAUACAUUUGUUGUAUUGUUAAAUAGAAAUUGAGUACUGAAACAUUUAUUGAAGAUUAACAACCAUGUAAUACCAGGUAUUAAAU